rnacentral:rRNA from 1 species
AGAGUUUGAUCAUGGCUCAGGACAAACGCUGGCGGCGUGCAUAAAACAUGCAAGUCGAACGGACCUCAGUCCGCAAGGACUGAAGUGAGUGGCGAACGGCUGAGUAACACGUAGGUGACCUGCCCCGAAGUUUGGGAUAACACCUCGAAAGAGGUGCUAAUACCGGAUGUGACCACCGAUUCAUUUCGGUGCUUAAAGUCGCAAGACGCUUUGGGAGGAGCCUGCGGCGGAUUAGCUAGUUGGUGUGGUAACGGCACACCAAGGCUUCGAUCCGUAGCUGGUCUGAGAGGAUGGCCAGCCAGACUGGGACUGAGACACGGCCCAGACUCCUACGGGAGGCAGCAGUUAGGAAUUUUGCGCAAUGGAGGAAACUCUGACGCAGCCACGCCGCGUGAGGGAUGAAGGCCUUCGGGUCGUAAACCUCUUUUCUCAGGGAAGACACCCGACGGUACCUGAGGAAUAAGCAACGGCUAACUACGUGCCAGCAGCCGCGGUAAUACGUAGGUUGCGAGCGUUGUCCGGAUUUACUGGGCGUAAAGCGCGCGCAGGCGGUCCUGAAAGUCGAACGUGAAAGCUCCCGGCCCAACUGGGAGAGGCCGUUCGAAACUUCAGGACUUGAAGGCGGGAGAGGCAAAUGGAAUUUCCGGUGUAGCGGUAAAAUGCGUAGAUACCGGAAGGAACACCAGUGGCGAAAGCGAUUUGCUGGCCCGCCCUUGACGCUCAGGCGCGAAAGCUAGGGGAGCGACCGGGAUUAGAUACCCCGUUAGUCCUAGCCGUAAACAAUGGGCACUAGGUGUUGUCGGUAUCGACCCCGGCAGUGCCGAAGCUAACGCAUUAAGUGCCCCGCCUGGGGAGUACGACCGCAAGGUUAAAACUCAAAGGAAUUGACGG